AAAGUCGCACAAACCAAUUUGAGAGGCAUAUAUACCAGAAUGUGACUUCACCUGCAUUUGCACCUGCACCUUACUUUUACUUCUUAUGGCUUUCGAAGAAGAAGAAGAACAAGAAGAAGAAGAGGCUAGUAGUAGUAGAGGUGCAGGUGCAGGUGCAGUUGAAUGCCAUUUUGGCUACUCGCUAAUCACAAAAACCCGUCCUUUGUUAUUACAUGACCAUUCAAAGAAGUUUCAAGUAUGCCUGAGCUACAAAUAGUCUCUUGUAUUUCUUCCUCACUCCCGAUCUGUUCACUCCCAUACAGAUAUCAUAUCUUUAGUUAUCAAAACCAUUUCGAAAAGGCACAUAUACAAACCCUAGCUGCAAUAUGGGCAUGUCAACGCUAGCUAUCUAAUGUUUAUUUGUUUCUGCACUCGAUAGAUCGAAGAUAAACAGACUAAUAUGAAAAACAUAUGCCUCGUUUGGUGGGAGUCCAACUCGAUCCGUAGCGGAUGCUCUUGCUAAGCAGGGUGUUGAUAGGUCGGGUCUAUUUACUGCUUGGCUAAGUGAUGAUGCCUAGAUGGCUGGGGUUUGUUUUAGAUUUGUUCUUUUUGCUCCCUCGUUGCAGUGGUGUUCGUUGUGGGUGGUCAUGGUUGUGCCUAGUUCUUCUUUCUAGGUCUUGUCUGGUUCCGCUGCGGUCAUGCAAUGGCCACUCCAGUUGGAGAAAGGCACGGAAAAUUCUGAUGCCGAUGGAUUUGAACUCGGAGAAGGACCACGUGGUGGAGGUAUCAGCGUCGAUGAGGGCGGGCUUAUGAGGAUAAGAAGAGCAUUUUCUGAAGAGGAAAGAGACCAUGGAGAGAUUGUGAUCCCUGGGGAGAACCAGGGCGUGGGCCUUAGAGACCUGUAAAUGCGGUACCUGGAUUUCUCCAUCGAUGACGGAACGCGCGAGAUCUUUAGGUUUGUCUCAGAUCCACACAGUGACGUACAACUGGAUCUAGACAGUGAUGUGGACGGCGAACAUUUGGACCUGCAAGAACGAAGGAGGGCAGUCUUUGGGACACUCCAAAGUUCAAGUUAGAAACUUUUCCUUAAGAUAGUUUUAAGAAUCAAAUAUUGCAAAUGUCAAAGCAUACCUUGUUUAAGCAUGAUCCUUCAUUUUAUAGGAGUUGAGUUAUGGUUGUUGA